GCUAUAGCUCAGCUGGAUAGAGCGACCGCCUCCUAAGCGGUAGGCCGGAGGUUCGAAUCCUCUUAGC
rnacentral:tRNA from 1 species